UGUGGAGGUGGUUGGAGAGUCUCUGUGCGUCUUCUUCGGCCGAAUGCAGGCUGAACUCCUUUCUAGAGAGAAAUUUCUCAUCAUUUGGUUACUCUGAGAUAGAGAUCAUAUAAGAAAAACAGAAAAAUUCUUGAUCUUUUUCCCCUUAUUUACUAGUUUAAAUAACAAUUUGGCUCCAUAUCAUCCUCCCAAGGACUGACAAUACCAAAAAGUUGAUGUGGGAAACUGUCUUGUGGUGUCUUCUAAGGCCUAACUGUGACCUGUCUGUGCCAUUCUGUACAGCCAACAGAAAGGAGUGCUGGGGCCGGCCCUGUGGCACAGUGGUUAAGUUCGCACGUUCCACUUCUCAGCGGCCCGGGGUUCGCCAGUUCAGAUCCCGG
rnacentral:lncRNA from 1 species